GAUGUGAGUGAUGAUGUAAGGAGGACUGCUGUUCUUGCUCUUGGAUUUGUACUGUAUUCUGAGCCAGAGCAGACUCCUCGAAUAGUCUCCUUGCUUUCAGAGUCCUACAACCCACAUGUGCGAUAUGGUGCAGCUCUUGCAGUAGGCAUUUCCUGUGCAGGCACUGGAUUGAGCGAGGCUAUAUCAUUGCUAGAACCUUUGACAUCUGAUGUUGUCGAUUUUGUUCGUCAAGGUGCUCUUAUUGCAAUGGCUAUGGUCAUGGUGCAGAUGAAUGAGGCCGGUGAUUCUCGUGUUGGAACAUUCAGGCGACAAUUGGAAAAGAUAAUUCUUGAUAAGCA
rnacentral:misc_RNA from 1 species